CCUACGGGGGACAGCAGUGGGGGAUAUUGCACAAUGGGGGAAACCCUGAUGCAGCGACGCCGCGUGGGUGAAGAAGCGCCUCGGCGCGUAAAGCCCUGUCAGCAGGGAAGAAAAUGACGGUACCUGAAGAAGAAGCCCCGGCUAACUACGUGCCAGCAGCCGCGGUAAUACGGAGGGGGCAAGCGUUAUCCGGAUUUACUGGGUGUAAAGGGGGCGCAGACGGCGAUGCAAGCCAGGAGUGGAAGCCCGGGGCCCAACCCCGGGACUGCACUUGGAACUGCGUGGCUAGAGUGCAGGAGGGGCAGGCGGAAUUCCUGGUGUAGCGGUGAAAUGCGUAGAUAUCAGGAGGAACACCGGUGGCGAAGGCGGCCUGCUGGACUGCAACUGACGUUGAGGCCCGAAAGCGUGGGGAGCAAACAGGAUUAGAUACCCCGGUAGUC
rnacentral:rRNA from 1 species